rnacentral:misc_RNA from 1 species
GCCAUCUGGGAGACUCUGGAAUGAAAAAUGCACCAAGGAGCUGAAUUAGACAUGGAAUAGUACCUGAUAAUGAAAAAUAACAUGACCAUUAUGAACCUAUCUUCAAGUUUAUCAGUACAAAAUUUUGGAAGAAAACAAGUAAAAGAACACUACACCUAGUAGAGCCAAGAUGCGCCAGUUACAGACAGAACCAAUGAUAAACGUAACUGAUAUGCCAGAACCCAUCAUAAGUGCAAUAAGUAAUGCAAAUGCUCCCCUGAAAUUCUUGGGUGUAAUUUCUGCAACAUAAAUAGGUAUCACAUAAGAAAGAAUCCCAAUUCCAAUUCCCACCAACAGUCUUCCAAGGUCAAGUGACCACGCAACCUUGGAAAAUGUAAUUGCAAGCCACCCUAUGAGACACAAUGCAUCUGAAAUCCAAAUUGCACCUUUCCGACCAAUGAGGUCUGCCAUCUUCCCACACAAUAAUGCACCCAUUAGUCCCCCUAUUGUUAAUAUUGAACCAAAAAGCGAAUAUUCUGCCAAAGAAAGGCGGAGCUCAACCAAGAUUCCAGAUUCAGCAGGUGAUGAAUACCCCAUAGCAUUUCCAUAGAUGUAAAAACCACAAACAAUGGUUAAUGCGGAGAAAACAAGCGUAAAUGUGAUGGACGAGGAAGAAGAAGAAGAAGAAGAA